rnacentral:rRNA from 1 species
AUGCCACGUGCUGAUGGUCCAUUUAAGGUGUUAGAGAAAAUAAAUGAUAAUGCAUAUAAACUUGAGUUGCAUGCAGAUUUUGGGGUUAGUCCCACUUUUAACAUUCUAGAUUUGAAGCCUUAUUUGGGUGAGGAAGAUGAGCUUCCGUCGAGGACGACUUUAUUUCAAGAAGGGGAGGAUGAUGAGGACAUCAAUACCAUUGUUACACCCAUAGCCCCUACUGCUACAAAUAUUGUACCUAUCACUAGAGCUCGCACAUGCCAAUUAAAUUAUCAGGUACUUCCGUUUCUUGCUAAUAAUUCUAAUGUUCAUGAGAAUAUGAUGCUGCCUAAAUUCGAUACAUUUUUUUUCUUACAAAUGAAGGGCCUGGCAUGGAUAAGAGGGAUGAACACUGGAGCAAGACCAAGCAUGGAGAUGAUGGCAUGCGCAAGGGGAACAAGAACGGAGUUACAAGUGAUGAUUUUAGGACUUUGA